rnacentral:rRNA from 1 species
AACAGAGGUGCCAAGCGUUAGGCGGAAUCACUGGGCUUAAAGCGUGUGUAGGCGGAUUUGUAAGUACCUUGUGAAAUCCCACGGCUCAACCGUGGAACUGCUCGGUAUACUGCUUAUCUUGAGCCACUUAGGGGCUACCGGAACAAAUGGUGGAGCGGUGAAAUGCGUAGAUAUCAUUUGGAACGCCAAUGGUGAAAACAGGUAGCUGGGAGUGUGCUGACGCUGAGACACGAAAGCCAGGGGAGCGAACGGG